rnacentral:rRNA from 1 species
GGAAUCUUGCGCAAUGGGCGAAAGCCUGACGCAGCAACGCCGCGUGCGGGAAGAAGGCUUUCGGGCUGUAAACCGCUUUCAGUAGGAACGAAACUGACGGUACCUACAGAAGAAGGAGCGGCCAACUAUGUGCCAGCAGCCGCGGUGACACAUAGGCUCCAAGCGUUGUCCGGAUUUAUUGGGCGUAAAGAGCUCGUAGGCGGUUGAGUAAGUCGGGUGUGAAAACUUUGGGCUUAACCCAAAGAUGCCACUCGAUACUGCUCUGACUUGAGUUCGGUAGGGGAGUGGGGAAUUCCUUGUGUAGCGGUGAAAUGCGCAGAUAUAAGGAGGAACACCGGUGGCGAAGGCGCCACUCUGGGCCGAUACUGACGCUGAGGAGCGAAAGCGUGGGGAGCAAACAGGAUUAGAUACCCUGGUAGUCCACGCGGUAAACGGUGGUCACUAGGUGUGGGUCUCUACCAAUGAGAUCUGCGCCGUCGCUAACGCAUUAAGUGACCCGCCUGGGGAGUACGGUCGCAAGACUAAAACUCAAAUGAAUUGACGG